UGGAUGAAGGCUGCUCCCUGAGAAGGAUUGUUCUGUAAUCAGAGACCCUCUUGCUGGUUGGUCACAAAGAGACCUCCCAGUUUCCAGGAAACUGAGAACGAUGCAAUUAUAGUCAUACAUUGGAGUACUUUCGGCAAAGGAAAAUGGGAAGACAACAUCCUCAGAAUUGCUUUUACUUAUGAGGUGCUUUCAUGGUGUCACUGUAUCAUCUGGUAAGAGAUGACAGAUGUCCCAAGUAAACAGCUCUUGUGCUCUAAGGACAAAGUGCUCAUUUCAGAAGGAAAUCAGGAUUCUGCCAUCAGAGAAUUUUGGGUGAAGUGCUUUUGCAAAUCUGACAACUUUAUCAAACAACACCUUCAGAAGUCAAAGGGCAGGUGAAGAAAAAGUUGCUGCUGCCAUGAUAGCCCACUGAGCCUCCCUUCAAAGACCUGCAACUUCCUAUCUCUGCUGAAGCAGGAGUAGCAGCCAAUAAGACAAAGCUGUAUUUCCUUCCUUUGGUUAUCUGUUUCUUGGAUGCUCAACGCCUGCUCUUUUUCACCCUGCAUUUGUGCAUUCCUAUCUCUGAAUAUUAAUUCUGUAUUACAAAUAAAUAAUCCCACUCUGAAUG
rnacentral:lncRNA from 1 species